GCUUGUUCGUUUUGUUUUUGCUCGCUUUAACUCAUUUGUGCAAACUGUUUGUCUUUGGUGGAGAAAAACAAAAUUAGUCUAAAUCAGAAUCAGUUGAGUCUACGAAAACAACUUUUUUGGUCUGUCCUAACAUUUCCUCCGUUCGUAAUCGAGAGACCGUACAGGCACAACACCAACACCAGCUAACCACCGCCAAGCACUCAGCUGGUUUUACAUUCGGAUAUUAAUACCUGGCACAAAUACACACUCGCGGAACCGCUUUCUUUCCCGCGGCCCAUAUAACUCUUUGAUUUAUUCAAGACCGUCCCCUUCCUCCCCGCCCCUAACUCUAGUCGAUCGUCUUUGUCGUUGAACCCUUGACUCGAGCAAUGCGAGUGUUCUAAUUUUACAACACUCUCCGAUGACUGCUUGGAGUGCUUGGCUGUGUGUUUACCAACGCAAAAGCGUCGCAAGUUUCUUUUCGACCGUCAGCAAUCAGAUGGUUUUGGUCACCCACAAAACAAAAUAUAAAACUACGCGCGUACUUGUGACGUUCUUGACCUGAGAAACCGAGUGAGGACGGGGUUGUUCGGUAUUGGUUGCUUGUUUACUUGAACUUGAUGGUGAUUUUGGCUACCAUUUUACGCAAAAUUCUAUUGCUUAUGGCUAAGAACAGUUGAAAGUCGUUCUACUCUAAUUCCGACUCCUUCUUCAGCUCUCAUUUUCACUUUUGUUUAUUGAAAUAUCAAAACUGGUUAUUUCUAGAGUAUGAUGAGUCAUGGGUUUCCUAUGCAGAUAGAACCUAUUGAAAAUUUAAUCUAGAUUUUCUAGUUAUACAAUUCAUGUUUAUUGGUUGACACGAAUGCCUAAUUAUGGUAAAGUGUAAAUAAUAAACUAUAAUAAUAAUAAAAUGUUUAUUGGAACCUGUUAUUAUUACAACUAAUCCGACCAUCGCAAUAAUUUCGUGCAUUUAAUUUUUUUGUUUUUUUUUUGUUGGCCCAACCUUUUUUUGGGGCUUUUUCUAUGACCCCAGAAGUCAUUUUGUGUCAUUGGUUUACCCACACGCAGAAAAAUUCAGCCUUAUCAAUUUGAUAAAUAACAUUAUCAACAUUAAUAAUUUUUAGUUAUUGAUUUGAUAACCUUGGUUUAUCGUGUUGAUAAAUUUUUAAUAUCAAAACGAUAAUGUUUAUUGUUAGUUUGAUAAAUUCAAUUAUAGCUUGAUUUUUCUUGUGCACGUUUUCUCCUGUCAUUCGAAACAUAAACAAAACAAAUGUGGAACCUGUUUCGAUGCAAAGCCGCUGUAUCCGGAGAAUUUGUCCUCGAAACCCGUGAAAACCGUGCGGCGAAUCGAGGUCGUUGUCGGCGUCGAGUCAGUCAAAAACGCAGUCUCCUCUGAAGCUACCAAGCGAAAAGUGUACUGGAAGAAGUAUAUAAAGCCGGGAAUGCCACCACCAGCGCUAUCCCUGCUGUUGCGGCUUCCAGUAGAAACCGGGAACCUCAAAAGUUAAGAUAAAUCUCACCCGAGGUACACCUCAGAAGCACUUGGCUGCUAUUUGUUGAAGAAUCGGUCACUAAGAAUGUUCGAGCCAGUUGGUCCACCAUGGAGGUGACCCACAGCCUGGAGAGUCGAAACAUUCCAGCGCAAAAGGCGGCAAUGACCAAAAGCAACCGAUUGACCUUUAAAGAGUUUGGUGUAUGCGAGAUUGUUGGUGAACCAGCGCAGGAUGGGAAUAACAUAAUGUACAUGUUAAAAACACAAAUUUAUGUAAAUAAAUGAAGUUUUUUUAAGCAAAAUAAAAAUGUUUGAGUUCAAUUUUCAGAAGUACAAAAAACGACCUGCGUAAUAACGAUAAAUACAA